GAAGACCUUAGUAUAGAGGCAUGGGUAUGUCCAGGAAGAUGCCAAUCGAUCAAUCCUCCAAAGGGAAAGGACAAUAGCAUUCAAAUGUGAUUGGGAUGAUAAGGAUAUGCAUCCUUCUUACAAGCUGACAUUCUCAAGCCCGUGGGUAGAAUUUAGUGAUCUAUAUUUGUGAUUGUUUGUGUUAAUUCCACAUGAUUGGUUUCUUAGACUUCAAUUGAGUUUUGAAUGGUGGAUGUUGGAAUGGUGCAGUCUUGCUCUAUGCAAGAUGAGAUAAGAGGAGAGGAGACUGGUUUGCACCCUAUUGUUUCAGAGUAGAUGAUGUCUACUAGGAUAUACCGUAUAAAGUUAUACUUCCAGAGCACUAUUGUUUACAGCUUAGCAAUUGUGCCACAUGGAGCUCCGAGUUUGUGAUCCCUUAGCGUUCUGGUGCUGCUAUUCCUGGUGGCUUACAUGGUCUUGCAUUUCUUUUCGUGCAGCUGCUCUAAUGGUUUCCUGGCUGUCUUUACUUCUUGCUGUUUGGUUUUGUAAAUGAUUUGUUACUGGUGUGGUGAUUCUACUGUCCUUCCUUCAGUUUGGGGUUGCUAGUAUUCCAGUCCCUAAGGGUUGGUCUCCCCUUGGUGCGCCACUGUUUUUGGCUAGUUGCUCUUCACAGUUCCUGUCUUUUGACCUGCUUUUAUGGUUAGUGCUGCCUUGCUGUAUUAUUAAAGUGUGUUGCUGGCUGUAGACUUUGUUCUUCCUGCGGCUGCGUUGUGUUUUUUAUAGCAGAACAGAUUGCUGUUUGGCUCAGCCUUAUUUUCUCCUUGGUGUUGCUGCACUAGUUCUCCUAAUUGUUGUUGGUUAGGGCUUUGCAUGUUGCCUCAUGUUGGGGAGAGAAAGACAGAAAUUAAUGAAGCUGUUGUUCCAGAAGAAAUUGAAAGCUCGUCCUUCGUUCGAUGUAGAUACUAGUGGACUUAAAGAACGGGGGUGCAGUCAUCAACCCCAACAAUGCUGUCCAAGUUCAAGUGUUCUUUUCGCAAGUUUAAGAGGAACUUUCACAAAUGCAACUACUGCUAAUGAGGCAGUAAAGCUCCAGUCUUGGCCCCUUACCACACAGGUGAGACAAUCCCCAUUGAUUAUUCCUGCCCCCGCAUCACAAGCACCAUCCAAGUCGAUAUUUUUCACUGAUUCCUCUGGUCGGAGCAAAGUGCAUUUAUUUAUGGGUUUCCUCAAGUCUUCUUCUGGCUUUGAUUUAACCACUGAUUCUUGUACUUCCAAAAAACUGUGCGGCUCCAGUUGAGGCUUGUGUUAUGACAGGCAUUGGAUUCACUUGCAGACCUCAGAAUACACUUUCAGAAUGGCCUUCCGGAUAGCCCAACUCACACAGGAGAAAAUGAUGACAUUGGUCAGCCAGAUAGGCAAUGAAAUCAUGCAGAGGAAGAAGAAUGAAUCGAAUUUAACUGUCUCAAGGUUUGGUAUUUUGGAAACAACUUUGAGUCUUUUCUUAUUGCUGCGGUGAUGCUUGACAGAAAGGCAUUGGGGGACUUGGGACCAGAGCAUGCUUCUACCUGUUAUUAUGUCUAAACCUAAAGGCAAGAAAAAAAACAUUUUUGAUGAGCACAAAAGUAAUGGUCAGAAACACCAUACUCAAUGCCCGUUUGCUAAUUGCAUGCUUGCUGAUGGCUAAUGUUUACUCGUCAGAAUUCAGAAACACCAUGGCUGAGCUUCGAAUUUUCUAGAUGUAAAGGGUCAAAUCCCUUUGAGACGUUAAAUUUCAAAACACAUCCAUAGCCAUGUCAUCAUCCUUGAUAAUGCUCCCAGCUGGGGUGUUGCAACUUUGUGACUCGCAUGUGAUUGGUUGGAUGAACUUGUCAAAUUGCCGGAGACUCUGUGACAAUCUGGCCCGUGUGGCAAAGAUGAAAAAGAUUGUACUGUGUCUGGUUGUUCUGUCCUCUCUGUUUCUCUCCCAACAAUCUGUGUUUGAGGCAGUAGACAUGCAUCAGUGAGCCACCACAUGGCAGUUUCUGCUUCCAGCACUUCCUCAGUUUGAUGUAGGGUUUCUUGGUUCACAAGUUGUUUCCUUCCUUGUAGAUUGAUCUGUAUAGUUGCUUUGAUAUUGCCUUGGGACGUGUAUACUGGCGGUUGGUGUAUAUUUAAAUGCUUGUUUUGACAGGUGUAAAUUUUGAGAAUGCUCGAAUUACAAGGAAAACUCUGCCGAAUUUUCGGCAUGAGUCAAACCUAAAAUGGAUUUGAGCUAAGAGGAAGAAGGGCAAUUAUGUCAUUUGUGCCCGGCACCGCCAGGUGUCGGACACGCACAGGGUCCGGCUCAGAUUCCAUAGUGGAAUUUGGGUCGGGUCUUGUCAUUUUAAGAUUUUUUUUAGUAUUUGAAUGAUGAUAAACUUUAGAUAUGCAAAGCUGGAGAAACUGGAAAAGCAUACAGGAACCCUAAAACUUGAAUUAGCAUGGAAAUCUGACCCAAAAAAAAGAAGAAAAAGAAUGGGCCUGAAAAACUUAAAAAAAAAACACCUUCAAUUGUUGUUUUUGUUGGGCUUCGGCAGAGAUCCGAACCAACCCGACCUGCUUAAAUCAGGUUUUGAUGUAAGUUGAAAAUGGGCCUCAAAAUAGAUGCACGGUUUGUCAUUUGGGCCUGCCAACAUGGCCCAGUUCGGCAUGCGGUUGGGACCCAUAACUGGCCCGACCCGACCCGUGUGCAGCCCUAGUUUAAGGUAGAAUUAAAGGACAACACUGAAACACACCAACUACUACGCGUGUGAGCUUUUGUCGUCAUGGACUGGAAAAGACGUUUGAAGUUUCAACGAAAGAACACUGGCCCUUCCUCUUUCUUUGUUUCCUUUCCUUUCCUUCACCUUCAUCGACUUCGCUGUGUUCUUGGUUGAAGAAAAAAAACCCAGAGGCCAUGCCCUUCCCAGAUCUUUGAUCAGCCUGUUUAAUUCUCCGGCACGCAAUCAAACGACAGUCAUUCAAUGAUAUACGACGUCUUCCUGAGUUUCAGAGGCGAGGACACGCGAUUCAACUUUACUGAUCAUCUGCACAGUCAUUUGACUCGGAAGGGAAUUAGAACCUUCAUAGAUGAUGGUCUUAAGAGAGGGGAAGAAAUAUCACCGGCCCUUCUCAGAGCGAUCAAAGAGUCGAAGAUUUCUAUCAUCGUGUUCUCCGAAAACUAUGCAUCUUCGAAGUGGUGCUUGGAUGAACUCGUCAAGAUCCUUGAGAGUAAAGAAACAAGGGAACAAAUAGUUUGGCCUGUUUUUUACAAGGUGAAUCCGUCGGAUGUACGGCAUCAAAGGGGUAGUUUCGGUCAGGCACUUGCUGACUAUGAAUGCGAGUUCAAAGAUGACAUGAAGAAGGUGCAAAGAUGGAGGAGAAGUCUUACGAAAGCAGCCAAUCUGUCCGGAUGGUGUUUCAUGAACGGGCAUGAAUCAAAAUUUAUUGACAACAUCGUUGAAGCGAUUUCAUUACAAGUAUUAAACCAUGCAUGUUUGAAUGUAGCAAAGUACCCAGUUGGAAUAGAGUCUCGUGUGCGUGAGAUAAAUAAGCUUUUGGGCGUUGGAGGAAACGAUGUUCGCAUGGUAGGGAUAUGGGGCACUGGUGGAAUAGGUAAGACAACAAUUGCUAAAGCUGUUUAUAAUUCCAUCGCCCAUAUGUUUGAAGGUAGCUGUUUUCUAGAUGAUGUUAGAGAAAGAUCAAUGCCGUAUGGAGGCUUAGUCAAACUACAAAGUAUUCUUCUUUCUGAGAUUCUAGGGGUGAAAGAAGUAAAGGUGACCAAUGUUGACAAAGGAAUCAAUGUGAUAAAGAAAAUAUUGAAUGGUAAGAAGCUUCUCUUAGUUCUUGACGAUGUGAAUCAAUUGGACCAAUUAAACAAAUUAGUUGGAAGGUCUGAUUGGUUUGGUUCAGGCAGCAGAAUUGUUCUAACGACAAGAGAUAAGCAUUUGCUAAUUGCUCAUCAAGUCAAUCUAAUAUAUGAGGUUGAGAAGUUAGAUCAUUAUGAGUCCUUAAAGCUCUUCGCCAGUUGGAAUUCAUUUUCAAGAAAUGGACACUUAAUAGAUGAUUAUGCGAAACUUGCAAACGAGGUAGUAGACUAUGCCGACGGUCUUCCAUUAGCUCUGAUGGUUUUGGGUUCACAUCUAUGUGGUAGAAGUAUUGAUCAAUGGAAAUAUGCAUUAGAUGGUUACAGAAGAGUUCCUAACCGAGAGAUUCAAGAAAUUCUCAAAAUAAGUUAUAAUGCACUAGAAGAUGCGGUGAAGGAAAUUUUCCUUGAUAUUGCAUUUUUCUAUAAAGGUCUAGGCGAGGAUUAUGUGAUACAAAUACUAGAAGGUUGUGACCUCAACCCUAAGUACAAUCUUGAAGUACUCGUGGAAAAGGCUCUUAUAAAUAUUACGAAAGAUGGCUGCAUUUGGAUGCAUGACUUGAUAGAAGAAAUGGGUAAAGAAGUAGUUCGCCAAGAGUCGCCAACUGAGCCCGGAAAACGUAGUAGGUUGUGGUUUCACGAGGAUGUUUACCAUGUUUUAACAGAAAACACAGGAACGGAUAAGAUCAAAGGUAUUAUGGUGAAGUUGCCUGCUGGGCUUGAGUCAGAUGAGGUAUGUUUGAAUGCUGAAAGCUUCUCAAAGAUGAAAAAUCUUCGACUUUUUAUAAAUCAUAAUGUGCGCUUGUCUGGAGAAGUUGAUUAUCUUCCCAAUGAGUUGAGGCUCCUUAUCUGGCCUGAAUAUCCGUCACAGUCUUUGCCAGCCAAUUUUAAUCCAAAGAAACUUGUUCGUCUUACUAUGCCUCGUAGCCGCAUUUUACGACUGGAUUUGGAAUUCAAGAGUCUGAAAUUUAUAAAUUUGAAGCACAGCAAAUUCCUAAGAAAAACCCCUGACUUCUCUGGAGUCCCAAACUUGGAGAAGUUGAAUCUAAAGUAUUGUACAAGUUUAGUUGAGCUUCAUCCUUCUGCUGGAUUCCUUCAUAAGCUUGUUAAGUUGAGUCUUACGGGAUGCCGUAGUCUUACACUGUUUCCAAGAAUUGUCAACUUGAAAUCUCUGCUGGUGUUGAAUCUUGAUGGUUGCAUAAGUCUUGAGAAUUUUCCUGAAAUUAAGGGGAAGAUGGAUUCUUUGAAAUACCUGGAUCUAUCAAAGACUUCCAUCAAAGAAUUGCCUUCAUCGUCAAUUCGACAUUUCACUCGUCUCAAGGAAUUGAAUUUAACCGGAUGUGAAAACCUUACAAAUCUGCCAUGCAGCAUUUAUGAGUUGAAGCACCUAAAGGCAAUUUCUGUCCAUAAAUGCUCAAAAUUGGUUUCAUUUCCUAAAAUGGCGAAGUCUGAAGAUUCAAGGAGUGCAGAAUCGCUUGUGACUCUUCAUGGAGGCAAUUUAGCAUUUCCCAAGCUAUCUACAUUCUAUGUGGGGGGAUCCAAUCUUUCAGACAUUGCCAAUUUCCUUCUGACUCUUGAUUGCAUGACCACAUUAACUAGACUUGAUCUAUCAGGAAGCAAUUUCGUUAGUCUUCCCGUAUGCAUUAAUAACUUUGUCAACUUGGGUGAACUUCGGUUGGUUAGUUGCAAGAGGCUUAGAGAAAUUCCAGAUCUUCCACAAGCAUUGCAAGUUUUAGAUGUGAGUGAUUGCUUAUCAUUGGAAAGAGUUUCAAAAUUGUCCAACCUUUUGGAACGUAUAGAGUCUCAAAUGUUCAUGGAAAUGAGUUUGCUUAAUUGUUGGAGACUGCGUAACAAUCUGGUUCGAAUUGCAAAGAAGAAAAAUAUGUUCAUAAAUCAAGUCAAUCUCUUCUCUCUCUUUCUCUUGUCUCUCACAUCUGAUCUCGUGGUUGAAUUUCCAGGAAGGGGAAUUCCAAAGUGGUUCAGUUAUCGUAAGGAUUUGAAGGAUCUUUGCGAAUGUCAAUUCUCUAUUAAAACCUCUCAAAAUUUCAAUUGGGAGAACAAAGGAAUUUCUUUAUGUGCUUUUCUCGAAAAGACCAAAAAUAGGUUAAUAUUGGAUAUUAAACCCAGCAUCAGGGAGUUUGCUAUUGAUAUUUACGUGAAUGAAGAAUACAAUGAUAAUAUUCGUUCAACAGGGAAAGAAUCGAGUUUUGUGUGGCUGUUCUAUGUCCCUUUCCAUGAUUUGAUGUCGACAAUGGCAUGCACGAAAAGAAAUGUGAAAAGAACAUGGGUGAUGCCGCCUUAUUUGCCUACAAUCCGUGUUCAUUUUGUGCGUAUUAGCGAAGUUGUGAAAUGCUGCGGAGUCCACCUGGUAAUGCCACCAGGAUGAAGACCUCAGUAUAGAGGCAUGGGUAUGUCCAGGAAGAUACCAAUCGAAUGUGAUUGGGAUGAUAAGGAUUUGCAUCCUUCUUACAAGCUGACAUUCUCUAGCCCGUGGGUAGAAUUCAGUGAUCUAUAUUUGUGAUUGUUUGUGUUAAUUCCACAAGAUUGGUUUCUUAGACUUCAAUUGAGUUUUGAAUGGUGGAUGUUGGAAUGGUGCAGUCUUGCUCUAUGCAAGAUGAGAUAAGCGGAGAGGAGACUGGUUUGCACCCUGUUGUUUCAGAGUAGAUGAUGUCCACUAGGAUAUACUGUAUAAAGUUAUACUUCCAGAGCACUAUUGUUUACAGCUUAGCAAUUGUGCCACAUGGAACUCCAAGUUUGUGAUCCCUUAGUGUUCUGGUGCUGCUAUUCCUGGUGGCUUACAUGGUCUUGCUUUUCUUUUCGUGCAGCUGCUCUAAUGGUUUCCUGGCUGUCUUUACUUCUUGCUGUUUGUUUUGUGAAAGAUUUGUUACUGGUGUGGUGAUUCUACUGCCCUUCCUUCAGUUUGGGGUUGCUAGUAUUGCAGUCCCUAUGGGUUGGUCUCCCCUUGGUGCGCCACUGUUUUUGGCUAGUUGCUCUUCACAGUUCCUGUCUUUUGACCUGCUUUUAUGGUUAGUGCUGCCUUGCUGUAUUAUUAAAGUGUGUUGCUGGCUGUAGACUUUGUUCUUCCUGCAGCCGCGUUGUGUUUUUUUAUAGCAGAACAGAUUGCUGUUUGGCUCAGCCUUAUUUUCUCCUUGGUGUUGCUGCAUUAGUUCUCCUAUUUGUUGUUGGUUAGGGCUUUGCAUGUUGCAUCAUGUUGGGGAGAGAAAGACGGAAAUUAAUGAAGCUGUUGUUCCAGAAGAAAUUGAAAGCUCGUCCUUCAUUCGAUGCAGAUACUAGUGGACUUAAAGAAAGGGGGUGCCGUCAUCAACCCCAACAAUGCUGUCCAAGUUCAAGAGUUGUUUUCGCAAGUUUAAGAGGGGCUUUCACAAAUGCAACUACUGCUAAUGAGGCAGUAAAGUUCCGGUCUUGGCCCCCUACCAUACAGGCGAGACAAUCCCUAGUGAUUAUUCCUGCCCCCGCAUCACAAGCACCAUCCAAGUCGAUAUUUUUCACUGAUUCCUCUGGUAGGAGCAAAGCGCAUUUAUUUAUGGGUUUCCUCAAGUGUUCUUCUGGCUUUGAUUUAACCCCUGAUUCUUGUACUUCCAAAAAACUUUGCGGCUCCAGUUGAGGCUUGUGUUAUGACAGGCAUUGGAUUCACUUGCAGACCUCAGAAUACACUUUCAGAAUGGCCUUCCAGAUAGCCCAACGCACACGAGGUUAAACAACUUUGAGUCUCUUCUUAUUGCUGCGUUGGUGCUUGACAGAAAGGCAUGGGGGGACUUGGGGGACCAGAGCAUGCUUCGACCUGUUAUUAUGUCUAAACCUAAAGGCAAGAAAAAAAACAUAUUUGAAGAGCACAAAAGUAAUGGUCAGAAACACCAUACUCAAUGCCCUUUUGCUAAUUGCAUGCUUGCUGAUGGCUGAUGUUUACUCGUCAGAAUUCAGAAACACCAUGGCUGAGCUUCAAAUUUUCUAGAUGUAAAGGGUCUUCAUUUGGAACCAAACGGUCCAAGUCCCUUUGAGACGUUAAAUUUCAAAACACAUCCAUAGCCAUGUCAUCAUCCUUGAUAGUGCUCCCAGCUGGGGUGUUGCAACUUUGUGACUUGCAUAUGAUUGGUUGGAUGAACUUGUCUAAUUGCCGGAGACUCUGACAAUCUGGCUGGUGUGGCACAGAUGAAAAAGAUUGUACUGUGUCUGGUGGUUCUGUCCUCUCUGUUUCUCUCCCAACAAUCUGUGUUUGAGGUUGUGUUUCCAGGAAAUGAGGUUCCAAAGUGGUUCAGCUGUUGUAGGGAUUUGAAGGAGCGUAGUGAAUGUGAAGUUGCUGUUGAAAUCCCUCCCAAUUUCAAAUGGUCAAAAACAGGGUUGGCUCUCUGUGCUGCUGUUGAAAUUAAGCAAAACAGGUCUGGCAAUUGUUGCUUGAUAGCCAGAGUUUACAUGGAUGAAGAAUGCUCUCAUGAACAUGCAGUUUAUUUCGAUUCGAAAGAGAGGAGUCAGCUCACCUGUGGCUGUAUUAUCCCAUUCCAUACAAUGAUAGCCAAGACAAGAAGUGGCUUGCCACCUUAUAAGUUCCAAGUUAGUUUUGAGCUUACCAUCAAAGGCUCAGUCUUUUUCGAAAGCUGCGGAGUCCACCUAGUGAUCAAGGAUGAUUUGCCAGUGCCCAAAACAAAGUUUUUCCUUAAUCAUUGCCUUCAAAUGUAAUGCUGGGCGAGUCCCAUGUGAUUCUCUCUCUCUCUCUCCCUCUCUCUCUCUCUCUCCUUGUUUUUGGUCUUCCUUCUAAUUAAGUUGUAUUUCUUUCUUCAUUUGUUGUUGAAAAAAAGAGUUCCAAUAACAUAUGAUGUUUAUUACAUAAAGAUAAUAAGAGAAGGUCCAUCAAGAAUCACUGAACAAA